GACGAACGCUGGCGGCGUGCUUAACACAUGCAAGUCGAGCGGUAAGGCCCUUUCGGGGGUACGACGAGCGGCGAACGGGUGGAGUAACACGUGGGUGACCUGCCCUCCAGCUCUGGGAGUAAGCCUGGGAAACCGGGGUACUAAUACUGGAUAUGACUCCAUGACGCAUGUUGUGGGGUGGAAAGCCUUGUGCGGCUGAGGAUGGGCCCGCGGCCUAUCAGCUUGUUGGU
rnacentral:rRNA from 1 species